rnacentral:rRNA from 2 species
UCCCUGAUAUCAGCGGCGGACGGGUGAGUAACACGUGGGUAACCUGCCUGUAAGACUGGGAUAACUCCGGGAAACCGGGGCUAAUACCGGAUAACUCAUUUCCUCGCAUGAGGAAAUGUUGAAAGGUGGCUUUUAGCUACCACUUACAGAUGGACCCGCGGCGCAUUAGCUAGUUGGUGAGGUAACGGCUCACCAAGGCGACGAUGCGUAGCCGACCUGAGAGGGUGAUCGGCCACACUGGGACUGAGACACGGCCCAGACUCCUACGGGAGGCAGCAGUAGGGAAUCUUCCGCAAUGGACGAAAGUCUGACGGAGCAACGCCGCGUGAGUGAUGAAGGUUUUCGGAUCGUAAAGCUCUGUUGUUAGGGAAGAACAAGUGCCGUUCGAAUAGGGCGGCACCUUGACGGUACCUAACCAGAAAGCCACGGCUAACUACGUGCCAGCAGCCGCGGUAAUACGUAGGUGGCAAGCGUUGUCCGGAAUUAUUGGGCGUAAAGCGCGCGCAGGUGGUUCCUUAAGUCUGAUGUGAAAGCCCACGGCUCAACCGUGGAGGGUCAUUGGAAACUGGGGAACUUGAGUGCAGAAGAGGAAAGUGGAAUUCCAAGUGUAGCGGUGAAAUGCGUAGAUAUUUGGAGGAACACCAGUGGCGAAAGCGACUUUCUGGUCUGUAACUGACACUGAGGCGCGAAAGCGUGGGGAGCAAACAGGAUUA